GAUGAACGCUGGCGGCGUGCCUAAUACAUGCAAGUCGAGCGAACAGACGAGGAGCUUGCUCCUCUGACGUUAGCGGCGGACGGGUGAGUAACACGUGGAUAACCUACCUAUAAGACUGGGAUAACUUCGGGAAACCGGAGCUAAUACCGGAUAAUAUAUUGAACCGCAUGGUUCAAUAGUGAAAGACGGUUUUGCUGUCACUUAUAGAUGGAUCCGCGCCGCAUUAGCUAGUUGGUAAGGUAACGGCUUACCAAGGCGACGAUUCGUAGCCGACCUGAGAGGAUGAUCAGCCACACUGGAACUGAGACACGGUCCAGACUCCUACGGGAGGCAGCAGUAGGGAAUCUUCCGCAAUGGGCGAAAGCUUGACGGAGCAACGCCGCGUGAGUGAUGAAGGUCUUCGGAUCGUAAAACUCUGUUAUUAGGGAAGAACAAAUGUGUAAGUAACUAUGCACGUCUUGACGGUACCUAAUCAGAAAGCCACGGCUAACUACGUG
rnacentral:rRNA from 1 species